GACGAACGCUGGCGGCGUGCUUAACACAUGCGAGUCGAACGGAAAGGCCCUGCUUUUGUGGGGUGCUCGAGUGGCGAAAGGGUGAGUAACACGGGAGUAACCUGCCCUUGACUUUGGGAUAACUUCAGGAAACUGGGGCUAAUAACGGAUAGGAGCUCCUGCUGCAUGGUGUGGGUUGGAAAGUUUCGGCGGUUGGGGAUGGACUCGCGGCUUAUCAGCUUGUUGGUGGGGUAGUGGCUUACCAAGGCUUUGACGGGUAGCCGGCCUGAGAGGGUGACCGGCCACAUUGGGACUGAGAUACGCCGCAGACUCCUACGGGAGGCAGCAGUGGGGAAUAUUGCACAAUGGGCGGAAGCCUGAUGCAGCAACGCCGCGUGCGGGAUGACGGCCUUCGGGUUGUAAACCGCUUUCGCCUGUGACGAAGCGUGAGUGACGGUAAUGGGUAAAGAAGCACCGGCUAACUACG
rnacentral:rRNA from 1 species